CUGCGCUCCACUGUCUUUUACAGCUUUUUCUGAGAACUUUUGUGUUACGUAAGCUGCAGAUGACAUUACUGUGUAUGGACACACUCCCUCCCCCUUUGCCCUCACUCUUUCUCAUGUCUUUACCUGAGAAAACAGUCACACCCAGCAUCUUCAACCCCACCAAUCACAGCACAGAUGUGUUGACUUCCUGUUUCUGUGAGAGAGAAGCAUGCAGUGCCAGUGAGAGUGAGGUGAGUAAAAGGCUGAAUUACUGGAACAAGCUGUAGCGCAAUCACUGUGGGUCUACUGAGUUUAUGAGAAGUGAAGAAAAGCUGCGUGUGAGCUUAAACAGACGGUAACUUUUGGACUCCUCUUUAAGACAGUGCUGGAGGGGGAAAGUAAAAGGAAAACAGAAACAGAAAGAGGGGAGGAAGAUAAGUGUCAAUCUGUUCAAACUUGUUUGGGAAUUUGAGAAGGGCGGGAGGAGGGGACGAGAGAGAGAGAGGGAAACAGAGAGAAGGAGAGAGAGGAACACUGUGAGAAUCUUUUUACUUUGCUGAAAACUAUUUUUGCUUACAUUAACACAUUAAGUAGGACAGAGGCAGGCUGGAUAAUUAAAUCAGUGUUUUCAGUAGAGCAUUUAUCUCACUCAACUUUGGUUCUCUCAAUGGGCAAACACUGAUAUGUGGAAUGUCUGAGAGUUGUGCAAUUCCUGCUAGCUUCACUUUGUCAAUAAAGCAAAGAAAAACUUGGAGAGAGACAGAGAAGCGUCCCCCAAGACACUUCUCAGAUUCUCUAUGUUGCCAUGGAAACCAGUCAAAUUAAUUGGGCCAUCCAAUACACUGUGCAGAUACAGUCCUCUUAAGGUGCACUAGACAGGUUGUCAAUCAAGUGCAAACUGUUACCUUGAGGUAAUUGGCGAAGGGGACCUAGGUGAAGAAGAGACUUGGAAACACCAAAAGAUGGACAGAACAAGAGAAAAAGAAAUGGAACCAGACUCAUGUGAUGGGAUUAGGGAGAGAUUUCCUGCAACCAGAAGAAGAGAUGGAGAGGUGGACUGGACAGAAAGACAGAGGUGGAGAAAUAGAGAUCGACAUGCAAAUGGAAGCUCAUCAGUGUCAGAGCAGGCUGAAUAUGGAGAUCGAGACAAUGAGAGGAGAAAAGGGGACACUUUUCCAAGGAUGACAAAACCAACCAGAGUGAGAGACAGAAGGAUACCAAUUCCAGAUUAUGAAAGAGAACGUCACAUGGGACGACCGAAGGACAUACUGUAUAAAAAUGAAAGAGAUAAGGAAAGGAAGAGAUACAGAGACAUGGACAUACAGGAUGAAAGAGAAAUAGCAAGAUACAUGGAGGAAAUGAGGAGAAAGGAAAUGAGAAGGCUUGUAAAGGAGGAGACAGAUAGACAGAGGGAACGAGAGAAGGAGUUUGACUCAGGAAUGAGAGGAAGAAGGAGAGAAAGUUAUCCAGGGAUCAAUGACCUUUCAGGCAUGAGGGAAAGAGAGACAGACAGAGGCAGACAUCAACAAAGAGACAGAGAGGGCAGAUAUUAUCCUCGACUCAUGGAAAGAGAGACAGAGAGCUUUUCAGAUAGGGAAAGGAGAACCGAUAGACCGAGAGAGGGAGAGAGAUCUAGGAAAAGAGAUACAAAAAGCGAAGGAGACAGUGAUGGAGACAGGGGUAAGGAAAGUAAGAGAGAAGAAGAUAUUAAACAUAGACACAAACUCUACAAAAGUGAAGGAGACAGUGACGCAGAGCGAAGGAUAGACAGAGUUAGAGAGAGAGACAGACGUAGAGAGAGAGAAGCCGAGAGAUGGCGAGACAUGGCAAUGCCUAGAGAAAGAGAUUACCGGGAGAAAGGUUAUCAUGAUCCUAAAGGGGACAAUUUGGAACGACUCCGAGAGACAGAUAAACCAAGAGACAGAACAAGAGACUCCAAAGAGAAAAGAACAGACAGAGAUGCUUACUUAUACACAGCUGAAAGAGAAAGGUAUAGAGAUGGAGAAAGGAUAAGAGAGAAGGAUAGGUAUUCUGAAAGAGAAACUGAUGAGAGUGAGAGGCGGAGGAAAGAAAACAGAGAGACAGGGAGAAGUAAGGUGGAGAAGAGUGGACAAAGUAGUGGAGAGCUGAUUUCAGGAACUGAUAUUGAGAUUGAACAAAGGAGGGCAAUGAGAGAGAACCUUGAGGACAGAGACAGCGAAAACACAUAUGAGACUGAUAAAGAAAGAUUGAAGGGAAGAACAGAGGAAGAGCAGGAAGUAAGGAGUACACCGAGAGAAGAAGAGAAGAGUGAAAGCUUUGCUGCUGAGGAAGCAGUUACAAAGAAACCUAAAAACAGGAUAAGGAAAAUGUGGCUGGAACCUCGUAGUGAGAGAAAAGAAUCUUGUUUAAAAGAGGAGUACUCCGAGAGAGAGAGAGCAAGAGAGAGGUACAUCCAAAGAUACACAGAAAGCAUGACAACUGGAAAUGAAGAAGAGCCUGAGAUAAGGAAAGCAAGCAAGAGCAAAAGUCUUGAGGACAAGUAUAGAGAACUUGAGAGGGCCGGGGAGUUCUUGUUGGAUGUGGGCAGAAAAAGGGUGGAGAAGAAGAUGGAAGGGGACAUGGCUUCUGAUAAAGCCAUGGAACCAGAGUGGCAGAUGAACAGAGAGAAUGUGGCCGACAACAUGGAAGAGAAUGUCAGAGAUGAACAGAGAAGCAACAAUAGAUAUGACUACUUGGAGAAUGAGGAAGGAAGUGAGGGAGAGUCAGAAGCAGAGAAGAACAGAAUGAUGGCAGCAGAUGAUGGAUUUGUAACGGUUUCCAGUGGAGGGGAUGAUGCAGAGGAAGAGGAUUUUGAAGACUGCAAAGAAUUCUGGGAAGGUAAAGUUCCCGAAACUGUCUCUGGACACUCAGGAACUAUUCAUGACAGAGAGAUUGGGGCAGAUGAAGAACUGGAAAACCAAACAGUGAAUGAAAGAGCAGACUGUGUGGCUCCAAAAGGACCCCUAAGAGUAUUUUGUGUGAUUGGUCAGAUCCUUCCCAAUUCACAAACAAUAGAGAAUUCAAUUAUACAUCCUACUGUUGAAGAGGAAGCCGAUCAGCAUCCAGGUCAUAACAUGGACAACCAAGGUGAAAUAAGCACUGUAAAUGUAAAUGAAGCAUUUGAAAGGGUUGAACACUGUGAACAGGACAUUGAAAGAGUGAUGGACGACCUCAGUCUUUCUCCUAAUGAGGACAAAGUGGAGGGCGCAGGAAGUAAUGACCAGGCAACAGAGGGUGUAACAUCACUGGAAGGUCAAAUGAUUCCUCCCAGUGAGCAAACAGAACAAGACAACCAACUUUUCCUUCCAGAGCCUUUUGGGGCUACAGAGACUCGUAGUGAAGACACAAUAGAAAGAGGAGAAAAAGAACCUACCGGAGACACAGUGGGGCAUUUUGGUUCAGAUGACUCAUGGAGCACAUCAGAGGAACGAAAGCGAUGCUCUACUGCCCCUUACCUUAGAUGGGCCAAGAACGUGGUGAGAGAGAUCUUGGGUCCAAAGUCGGCGGACGCAGAAAAUACAAAAGAUGAUAAAGAGGAUGAAUUAUGUUUUACCUGGAGUGAAAUGGAUCUAAGGAAACUUGGGAGGACAAAAAAGAGGAAUUCUAAGUUCUUUAGUAAGUCUCUGUAUUGUCUUUAUCUGGAACACAUUGCUGAUAUUUACAUGGACAUGUACAUGGCUAUAACAGACUACAAAUAAAAAGUUCUGUUUUAAAAUGUUUAAAAUGCAUGAAAACAUUACUAAGACACAUAAAAUUCCCAGUAAUGCAAAUCCCAAUUUCACACACAC
rnacentral:lncRNA from 1 species